rnacentral:misc_RNA from 1 species
CAAACCUAAACCUAACGCCUAGCUAACUCUCCUCCAGUUCUCUUCUUAUCUGAGAAGGGAAAAGAAAAGCAAAACGGAGGAUGGAUUAAUAUUAUUAGGUUUGAUGGGCAUCCUGUGGCUGAGAUGGUGCCAAUAAUACCACUGUUGGUUGUACAUGAUAUAUGCGAUAAUCUGCAAGUUUAGGAGCCUUUUCUUCCCAGUCAUGUUGAAGUUCUGUGCUCUCUCUUCCACCUAUAAUUCUUCAUUGUUUCAGAUUUGGGCUCUAGGGUUUUGCUUAUAUAUUAAUAUUGCGUGUUCCAUAAUGUU